CACACCCACACCCACACCCACACCCACACCCACACACACACACACACACACACACACACACACACACACACACACACACACACAAUUAUGCAAACCUAAAAGUUUGUUUUGACAUAGAUCAUUGGUUUUAAUCUGAAGCUGCUUUUACCAUGUGAAGUCUUACUGAAAUAUGGUUAAUACCAUUUUCUUUUAGCCAUACCAUUUUAUGAUGAUUUUUCUAUGGCUAAAGCGUUUUAAAAGAUGCCUAUUUUCUUUAUAACAUGUUUAAAUUCCAUAUACACUUUAAAAUCGGGAUAAUUGUUGAUUUCUUAGCUAAGGUUUAGAGUUUAGCCCGGUGUUAAACUCUUUUGUUAUGUGAGAAAGUCACAUGACCUCUUAAACCCUAUUGCACCGUCAUAAUUAAACCUGCAGCUUGAUUUAAGUUGUUGUGUCUUCAAAAGUGUAUUAUAGUGUUUCUCCUUAUAACUUUUGUUAACUUGCAGUAUCGUGCAACAGAUUUUAGUAGCAAUCCCUUGUUCAUCACAGAUUUUUUUUAGUGGAAAUGAAAACAAUUUUCUAAUUGAGACAACUGAUUUCAUGUAGGAUGAACUGACUAUAUGAAACUCAUGGUGUAUCUAGUUUAACUUGAAAUGUUUUGGUUUAGCAAUGCUAGUAAGAUGCUAACUGACAGUGCAUUUGGCUCAAGGAAUUGUGGCGUAAACGUUAAUUGCACUUCGUCAUGUAUAUGAAUCUCAUUUCCCUCUGAUUCUUACCUGAGUUCAGUGAUAUUACACAUCUUUAAUAUAAUAGUCGUGAAGAGUUUUGAUAAUCAAAUUUGAUCAAAGAACAUCUGCAAACUCCUGACGUUGAAGAUUUUUCAGGUUUAGACAUGUAUUUAAUUAUAGCUUGGCUAUUCAUUAUAAUUCAGGAUUAACGUUGAACAUGAAAUCAAAUAGUUAACUCCUUAAAUGUUGUGGACACCUGAGUAGCUGCAAUAAAAUAUAAUAUAUUUUGAAGAAAUUAAUUUUUUAUUUAAAUUUAAAAAUAUUGUAUGUUUUUCUUAUUAUAUGGGACAGCCUUUCAAAUGACCCUCGACAAUCUUGUUUUUUUCUAGAAUGGUCAAAGGUUUAUUUAAAGUAUUUCUUUAGUGUCAUCAUACCUAGGGUGCACAUCAACUGCAAAAUGCUGCUGAAAUGGUGAAAACUGGAGAAGAAAGUGGCUGAUAAAAAUGUCAUCCACUGGCACAUUUGAAAUGUGACUGGUUUUGAUAAUUUACUGAAAAAAACUCUUGUUUAUUUUUGGGAUAUUGCACAGUAUACUUGCUCUGCACUCUUACAGACAGUAUUUAUUUAUUUAUUUAUUUUAUUUUAUUUUAUUUUUUCUAAACCAGUGCAGUAAAAUACACAUAUCGGGUGCUCAAAUACUUUUUGGUUGGUGGAGGAAAUGUAUUUUUUUAAACAGUUUACAUUUUAUGAUAAUAAAUGCAUUAUAUUGAUAUUGUGAAUAAUCUUGCUGCAAUAAUUGUGUUUUGGAAAAAAAAAAAAAUCUGAUUUCAUGACAGCCCUGGUUUGCCAUAACAGACAUUAACACAUUUGAAAGACUUAAUUGUCCUGGGCUUUUAAAAAUGUGAUUUGAUUAGAUUUUAUUUUUCUACUGGUAUCUCACCCACCCAUUGGCUGUAAUGUUACUUCUGUGUUAUUGUCUACAGGUCACUUCAAUACAUGACUUGCAAUAAAAUUGUGCCUGAACUGCAGACAAGGGAAAUUGUACUAUUUGAAAAUAAAACUGUAAAACACU